CUGCAAGAGCCUUUGGCCCCAUGGAGGGACUGCUGGCUGCCGGCUUCUUCACUUCAGCUCCUUCUGGAGAUGACCAAGUCUGUGGUGGUGCCUGAAGAUUUAAGCAAGGCCCAGGUCAUGCUGGGUUUCAUGGGGAGAUGAUGGUUCAUCAGGACAAAGACAAAAAUUCCUUAAAAUUAUCUCAAAAGAGUGAAGAAUAUCAGAAAAUGUUAACAGACUGGAUAAAAAUGUAGAUAUUCAGGAAAGUCUAAAACCAUUCAUAAUAAGCUCAAAAAUUAAAAGAAGAAAUAAACAAUCUCAAUGAACCUAGUAAAGCCACAUCCACAAGCAUAGGCCAAGUCACACAUGACAGAGAAUGACAGAUCUGAUCCCUGUCUACAGCCAGGGAAGUCUGACACCCUCGCCUGGCCCCCUUCUUGAUAGUAACACUGUGGGGGGCAGAGAGGGGUGACUUGGACUAGGAUACGUAAAGUGAAUCCGGAAAAGAGACAACCUGGAUGAUCAAGCAGGAACUGAUUUAAAGGAAUUGAUGUCUGCUGCUAAGGUGGACUUCAUUUCCCAGCCUCCUUUGUGGCUAGGUGUUGUCAUGUGACUGCGUUCUAGCCAGUGGACAAUGGGAGUAUGAAGCCCUGAGGGCUGAGACCACAUCUGCCUGGUUUUCUGUGGCAGCUGCAGCAUCAACACUGGCUCUUCGAAGAGUAGCAGCUGAUGAACAUUACUCCGGCAAACAAUUUUCUCUGCUAGGAACUGGAUAAAUGCAAAGGAAGGAGGGGAGAGUGUGUCAGACGGGGACCCUGC
rnacentral:lncRNA from 1 species